CCUACGGGGCGCAGCAGUGGGGAAUAUUGGGCAAUGGAGGCAACUCUUACCCAGCAAUGCCGCGUGAAUGAAGAAGGUCUUCGGAUUGUAAAGUUCUUUAAUUGGGGACGAAAAAAAUGACGGUACCCAAGGAAUAAGCCCCGGCUAACUACGUGCCAGCAGCCGCGGUAAUACGUAGGGGGCGAGCGUUGUCCGGAAUGACUGGGCGUAAAGGGUGCGUAGGCGGCAUAAUAAGUUAGAAGUGAAAUACCCAGAGCUUAACUCGGGUGCUGCUUCUAAGACUGUUGAGCUUGAGUGCGGGAGAG
rnacentral:rRNA from 1 species